GUGUGAAUGUUUUGUGGGGCUUCUCGUUGAUUGUGAAAACCAGAUCCGCAGGGAUUGCAUACGGCCGUACGUUUCCUUUCUCCGGGAAGGAUUUCCUCCAAAUGGCAGGGACAGAAGACAAAAGGGAACAAAAUGCAACAUUAGGAAAAGAGACGAACCCAUUAGCAUCUGAAAUUUCUCUUGAAAUCUUCAUCUUCUUGAGGAUUCCUUUAUACAAAUCCUCUAGGCUACAAGGUAGUGUAGUUUCAACAGGAGGAGCUUUAUGAGUACUUUGAUCCAUUGGUCUACUUCCACCAGAGGAACUGGAUGCAUCAUCACCAAAUAUGUUACCAAAUACCCUUGAACCACCUCCCAUCCCACUGUCGCCGCCGCCGCCACCUCCUCCCAUUCUCCUAUAGGGAAUAGAAAACCCAAAAAAUUCUGCGAAAAUGUCAUCAGCAGUCCUGGGGUUGGCACUUGGCCUUGAACUCUGCUGCCACCACCACCAUGUGAAGGUGGAACUUGGCCUUUCAGCCCUUCUUUACCUUACCGAUCAUAGACAGCUCUCUUCAGUGGAUCGCUUAAAACCUGCAAACAUCAAAGUCGGGUAACUUUUUACUAUGAAUGUAAGCUUUGUGUAUGGAAAAAAGAUGAAAUUUUUUAGUUGA